rnacentral:rRNA from 1 species
UACGUAGGUGGCAAGCGUUGUCCGGAUUUACUGGGUGUAAAGGGCGUGUAGCCGGGCUGACAAGUCAGAUGUGAAAUCCGGGGGCUCAACCCCCGAACUGCAUUUGAAACUGUUGGUCUUGAGUAUCGGAGAGGCAGGCGGGAUUCCUAGUGUAGCGGUGAAAUGCGUAGAUAUUAGGAGGAACACCAGUGGCGAAGGCGGCCUGCUGGACGACAACUGACGGUGAGGCGCGAAAGCGUGGGGAGCAAACAGG